UUCCUGAUGUUUACUUGGAAUCUUCUUUCUUGUAACUUGAAGCCAUUGGUUCGAGCUCUACCCUCCAGAGCAGGAGAAAACAAGUUUGUUCCCCCUUCUAUGUGACAACCCUUGAGAUAUUUGAAGAUGGCUGUCAUAUUUCCUCUCAGUCUCCUUUUUUCCAGGCUAAACAUACCCAGUUCCCUCAAC